rnacentral:rRNA from 1 species
AAAAAGGGAAGAAAGGAGAUAAAAGAAAAAGAAAUAGAUUACCAAGGAGAAGAAAAGGACUAAAUUAGGAAGAUAAGCCAAAGUAAAGAGAAAGGAUACACGAAAGAAAUAUUGGGGAAGAGAUAAUGAACCAAUAGGAUCCAAUGGGGAAAGCCAAAAGAAACAACCCUUUGAACAGAAACAUCUAAAGUAAAAGGAGGAAAAGAAAUCAACCGAGAUAAGCUGAGUAGUGGUGAGCGAAAGGAAAAAAAUCCAAAACCGACCAAAAGAAUGGGUUAAGAGCCAACCAAAGAGGGUAAGAGUCCCGUAUAGAGGGAGAGAAAAGAAGUAGAAUGAGAGAAAACUUAUUCGAAAAAAGGGGAACCAUCCUCUAAAGGUAAAUAAGUUACUUUGAGCGAUAGAGAAAAGUACCGUGAGGGAAAAUUGAAAAGAAAGUAGUUGACUAGUGAAAAGAACCGGAAUAAGUUAGUUUAUAAGCAGUUGGAAGGAAAACUGACAACGUACCUUUGGCAUAAUGGGUCAGCAAGUUGAUAAGUGAAGCGAGUAGGAAGGAACUAGAUGAGAAUAAAGAAAGUAUCACUAAUCAGACCCGAAACCAAGUGAUCUUACCAUGAACAAGUUAAAGGACUGAACGGUAGUCUGUAGCAAUAGGCACCGAAGAUUUGUGGUAGGGAGUGAAAAGCUAAUCUCACUUGGAGAUAGCUGGUAUUCCGCGAAAACUAUUUAAGUAGAACCUUAAUAAAAAGGUGGAUUAAGUAAAGCACUGGAUAUAAAGGCGAAAAGUUUAAUUGGGGAGCAAAUCAAUCUCUAUCAAUUAUAUCUAAUCAACUAAAGGAUCCAUCAAAAUAAAUUAGGAGUCAGACUGAGAUCAGAGAAUAAGGUCCCAAAAAGCUGACUAAGUGAAAGGAAUAGAGAGAAGAAGAAGACAAGCCUAAAGUGGGCUUGGAAGCAGCCAUCUAAGAAAGAAAGCGUAAUAGCUCAAGGCUCAAUUGUAGAAAAGAUAGAAAAUGUAAAGGGUCUAAGUCAGAUACCGAAAUGGAUCAAGCAGCGAAAGCGGCAGUGGUAGCGGAACAUUCAGAGAGAUCUGAAGAGAGAAUGCUGACAUGAGUAACAAGAAAGAAUAAUAAGAAUAAUUCUCGCCAGGAGGAGAAGGGUUAUAUAGCAAUAGAGAAUAACUAUAUAUAAAGUAACGGUAUCUAAGAGAAGAUCGAUGAAGAAAUCUAACUAAUAAAAAGUCGAAAGACUCAGGAAAAAAAAUUAGUAAAAAAUAAACCGUACCCAAAACCGACACAGGUAUCCGAAGCGGCGAAUGAGACAAUCAUCUUGAAGGAACUCGGCAAAAUGCCUCUGUAACUUAGGAAGAAAGAGGGUGAUCAAUAUGAUCAUGACACAAAAGAGUAGGGAACGACUGUUUACUUAAAACACAAGACCUUGCUAAAACCUAUAUGUAUUGAUGUAUAAGGUCUGACACCUGCCCAGUGCUAGUAAGAGUGAAUAAAAUAAAUUUGACUCUCUGGUUAACGGCAGCCGUAACUAUGACGGUUCUAAGGUAGCGUAAUACCUUGACUACUAAUUAUAGUCUUGCAUGAAUGGUGUAACGAUUUCCCUAGCUGUCUCCAAGAUGAACUCAGUGAAAUUGCAAUGGAGGUGAAAAUGCCUUCUACCCUUAGCUAGACGGGAAGACCCUUUGAAGCUUUACUGGAAAUAAAUAAAGUGGGCUAGCCAGAAAGAAAGGAAGGAUAGUAUUCCGAUUGACCUCUCUUAGCAAAGAGUCCACAAAGAUAUGUUUAUUGGACAGUUUAACUGGGGCGGUAGCCUCCCAAAAGGUAACGGAGGCGUUCGAAGGUAGAGUAUUAAUUGAAUAGAAAUCAAAUAAGAAGUAUAAUGGCAAAACUCUGCUUAACAGUGAGUCAUACAAGACAAGCUGAGAGGUAACUCGGACAUAGUGAUCCGAUGAUAACAGAAUGGAAUGGUCAUCGCUAAACGGAUAAAAGCUACUCAAGGGAUAACAGAUUAAUCAGUCCUAAUAGUUCGAAUAGAGGGACUGGAUUGAUACCUCGAUGUCGACUCAUCUUAUCCUCGGGCUGCAGAAGGUCCGAAGGGUUCGGCUGUUCGCCGAGUAAAAAGGUACGUGAGUUGGGUUAAAUACGACGUGAGUCAGUAUGGACCCUAUCUACUAAGGGAAUAGGAAUUGAUUCUUAAUUAAAACCCAGUACGAGAGGAGCGGGGCUAGUGAACCAAUAGUGUACCUGAAGACAGGGAAGCCACGUUCAUAAAGGAUAACAACUGAAAGCAUCUAAAGUAGGAAACCAAUAAGAAAAAAUACCUAAAAGAUACGUAGAAGAAAACUACGAGAUUAGGCCAACGAAUAUAAAAUGAUGAGAAUCAAUAAGUGUAGUGGUACUAAAAAAAUCGAAUAACUUGGUAAUCG